GGCUCUAGUGGUGGACCAUGUGGAAUCCAAUUUAGAGCUGUGUACCUGGCUGCUGGCUUUGAUUCACUUUCUCAAGUGGACCUAAUGGCUA